UAAUAAAGACAUAAAAAGCUUAUAAAUCUCUGACUGUUUCCCCUUAUCGGAGGUGUUGGCUUUGGCAGCCAUAUUGGAUUUUCUGAUAGUCUGAAUGGUCAGAUUUGCAAAAUACUGUCAGAAAUGGAUUCCUUGACCAUGAAAACCUAUGUACAGACACCAGAAUUAUGGCCGCAGUCCUUCUAGAACAGGAGAUAUGACACUUUAAAGUUUAUGGUACCGUGCCCAUCGGCCAUCUUGGAUUUGCACAAUGAAAACGCCUGGUUAUGAUUUUAAGCCACUGAAUAUUAUUUCUAUUAUCAUAACCCACCA